rnacentral:RNase_MRP_RNA from 2 species
GGUCUGGUCGAGAAGCUGCUUCGUAGUAUAUAAACGGUUCAUCCACUAAGCUAUGGGGAAAGUCUCUGUGCAAAUAUCGCCGAAAGGGCGCCCGGGAAACCCGCCGAGGCCCAGAGCUCCUAUCUGUGCGUAGUACUUUAGGAGCCCUGAGUCGCUCCCGCCGUUUCAGCAUUAGAUAAUGCAGCUGAUGCCUAGCAUUUACAAGAUAGAGCUUAUCCGCGAACCAGAC